rnacentral:rRNA from 1 species
UCCGUGCCAGCAGCCGCGGUAAUACGGAGGGUGCGAGCGUUAAUCGGAAUUACUGGGCGUAAAGCGUACGCAGGCGGUUUGUUAAGCGAGAUGUGAAAGCCCCGGGCUCAACCUGGGAACUGCAUUUCGAACUGGCAAACUAGAGUGUGAUAGAGGGUGGUAGAAUUUCAGGUGUAGCGGUGAAAUGCGUAGAGAUCUGAAGGAAUACCGAUGGCGAAGGCAGCCACCUGGGUCAACACUGACGCUCAUGUACGAAAGCGUGGGGAGCAAACGGGAUUAGAUACCCCGGUAGUCCACGCCGUAAACGAUGUCUACUAGAAGCUCGGAACCUCGGUUCUGUUUUUCAAAGCUAACGCAUUAAGUAGACCGCCUGGGGAGUACGGCCGCAAGGUUAAAACUCAAAUGAAUUGACGG